GGUUAUGAAGCUCAUCUCUCAUCUCACAUGGCUGAAUUCAAAGGAUUUCUACCACUUAUCAAUACAUAUUGAUUCUCCGUAUGAGAUUCUGUUUACCCAGAAUGAGGCAGUUUAACUCAAGAUGAGUCAACCCAAAUUGCUCCUAAGCCUAUUCAGGUGUGUUGCUUGAUACCCUUGGGUAAGGAUGAGUUCGCCCCUGCAGGUAGGUUUAUGGCAUUGGAGGCUUGGCCACAUGAACACAACGGGAUUAAAGGUAACAUCUGUCGAUUUGCAGUUUUGUGAAGACUGCCUGCUAAAAAAACAAAAGGAGGUCAACUUUUCUAAGGUAGGAUAAGAUAUUACAAGUGGGAACCUGAAAUUUGUUCAUACAAUUAAACCCUUCAAAGAUAGUAAGUCAAUGUCCUCUAUAAAAGUAACACUAGCAUAAAAGGAUAACUAGCCCCAAAAGGAUAAGGAGUAGAACAAUUGGUGUAAAAAGAAGGAAUAGAGGUCAUAAUACAUAGCCUCCUCUUCAUAAGGGAUAGAGGCCAUAAUACAUAGCCUCCUCUUAGUACGAAAUUUCCUAAUUUUUCACUCUUAUUACAUUCAAUUUGAGAUAAAAGGAUAUCAUAUAGUCUCAUUCAAACAAAGAAAGAUAGGUAAUGGACUCUAUUCAUAAGUGAGGCAACAUGCGCAAAAGGGGCUUAGGGGACAUGUUGACGAUUAAAGAUAUUUUCACAGCCUCCUUCAGUCGAUGACUCUCAAUUGAAACUUGAAUACAGAAUUAUGAGUGUGGGAAAAGACUUAACACAAGUUUGAGGUACCAGACAACAUUCAUCAUUCAAAGAUCUUCUAUGUUUCCUCAAGACUUCGAAUUGAUUGGUAACGCUCGACUCCGAAUGGUUUGUAUAGCCGACACAUACAAUUACAAUGGAGGCCCAUGAUUUCAAUGCAUAUUUCCAGCUCCUCCGCCCACAAAUAUUUGUCCUAGUAUGUAAUUAUUCUCAAAAUUGAUGAUACGAUCGAGUGACAAUGUUAUAAGAAUAUGCAGUUCUUUGUCUAUUUAAGUCCUUUUAAGUUGACAAGGAAAUUUGAGUGGAUAAUUUAUACUGGCAAUACUUCAUGUAUGGGUAGUUUGUGUGAAAAAACAACAUAUUUAAUCUUGAUAUGUAGCCAUUCUCUGUGAACAAACAUA